AUUGAACGCUGGCGGCAGGCCUAACACAUGCAAGUCGAGCGGAGCGGCGGACGGGUGAGUAAUGCCUAUGAAUCUGCCUGGUAGUGGGGGAUAACGUCAGGAAACGGGCGCUAAUACCGCAUCCUAUCAAAUGAGCCUAUGGCGGAUUAUCUAUUUGGUGGGGUAAAGGCAUACCAAGGCGACGAUCCGUAACUGGUCCGAGAGGAUGAUCAGUCACACUGGAACUGAUACACGGUCCAGAUUCCUACGGGAGGCAGCAGUGGGGAAUAUUGGACAAUGGGCGAAAGCCUGAUCCAGCCAUGCCGCGUGUGUGAAGAAGGUCUUCGGAUUGUAAAGCACUUUAAGUUGGGAGGCGUUACCAACAGAAGAAGCACCGGCUAACUCCGUGCCAGCAGCCGCGGUAAUUC
rnacentral:rRNA from 1 species